CCCUUAGAUGUCCGGGGCCGCACGCGCGCUACACUGAAGGAAUCAGCGUGGCUUUCUCCCUGACCCGAAAGGGUUGGGAAACCCGUUGAAUCUCCUUCGUAAUAGGGAUUGGGGCUUGAAAUUGUUCCCCAUGAACGAGGAAUUCCCAGUAAGCGCGAGUCAUAAGCUCGCGUUGAUUACGUCCCUGCCCUUUGUACACACCGCCCGUCGCUACUACCGAUUGAACGGUUUAGUGAGGGCCUCGGAUUGGUCUCGGCCCGCUCUUUACCGGGCGGCGCCGUUGGUCGAGAAGACGCUCGAACUUGAUCGUUUAGAGGAAGUAAAAGUCGUAACA
rnacentral:rRNA from 1 species